ACCAAGGCGAAGACGGGUAGGGGGUGUGAGAGCACGGCCCCCCACAAUGGGACUGAAACACGGCCCAUACUCCUACGGGAGGCAGCAGCAGGGAAUAUUGCACAAUAGGCGAAAGCCUGAUGCAGCGACGCCGCGUGAGUGAAGAAGGCCUUCGGGUCGUAAAGCUCUUUUGUAGGGGAAGAGGAAGGACGGUACCCUAAGAAGAAGCGUCGGCUAACUACGUGCCAGCAGCCGCGGUAAGACGUAGGACGCGAGCGUUAUCCGGAAUUACCGGGCGUAAAGGGCCAGCAGGCGGCUUGGUAAGUUGUGCGUGAAAGCCUCGUGCUCAACGCGAGGAAGCCGGACAAUACUGUCAAGCUAGAGGGCAUCAGAGGGGAGUGGAAUUCCCGGAGUAGCGGUAAAAUGCGCAGAUAUCGGGAGGAACACCGAUGGCGAAGGCAGCUCCCUGGGAUGCACCUGACGCUAAGAGGCGAAAGCUAGGGGAGCGAACAGGAUUAGAGACCCUGGUAGUCCUAGCUGUAAACGCUGGGUGCUAGGUGUGGGACGUAGAAGUUCCGUGCCGGAGCAAACGCGAUAAGCACCCCGCCUGGGAAUUACGGUCGCAAGGCUAAAACUCAAACGAAUUGACGGGGCCCCGCACAAGCAGCGGAGCGUGUGGUUCAAUUCGAUGCUACACGAAGAACCUUACCUGGGUUUGACAUGUACGUGGUACGAAGGCGAAAGCCUAAGGACCCUUCGGGGAGCGUACACAGGUGCUGCAUGGCUGUCGUCAGCUCGUGCCGUGAGGUGUCGGGUUAAGUCCCGUAACGAGCGCAACCCUUGCCCUUAGUUACAAGUGUCUAAGGGGACUGCCGGCGGGAAGCCGGAGGAACGCCUGGGGAUGACGUCAAGUCAGCAUGGCCCUUAUGUCCAGGGCUACACACACGCUACAAUGGUCAGUACAAAGGGUAGCGAAGUCGCGAGGC
rnacentral:rRNA from 1 species